rnacentral:rRNA from 1 species
AGAGUUUGAUCCUGGCUCAGGACGAACGCUGGCGGCGUGCCUAACACAUGCAAGUCGAACGGGGUGAGGCCCUUCGGGACCUUUACCUAGUGGCGAACGGGUGAGUAACGCGUGAGGAACCUGCCUUUCAGUGGGGGACAACAGUUGGAAACGACUGCUAAUACCGCAUGAAGCUUUUGGGAGACAUCUCCUGAAAGCCAAAGCUUAAUGUGCUGAAAGAUGGCCUCGCGUCUGAUUAGCUAGUUGGUGGGGUAACGGCCCACCAAGGCGACGAUCAGUAGCCGGUCUGAGAGGAUGAACGGCCACAUUGGGACUGAGAUACGGCCCAGACUCCUACGGGAGGCAGCAGUGGGGAAUAUUGGGCAAUGGGCGAAAGCCUGACCCAGCAACGCCGCGUGAAGGAAGAAGGCCUUCGGGUUGUAAACUUCUUUUACCAGGGACGAAGGACGUGACGGUACCUGGAGAAAAAGCAACGGCUAACUACGUGCCAGCAGCCGCGGUAAUACGUAGGUUGCAAGCGUUGUCCGGAUUUACUGGGUGUAAAGGGCGUGUAGGCGGAGAUGCAAGUUAGGAGUGAAAUCUAUGGGCUCAACCCAUAAACUGCUUCUAAAACUGUAUCCCUUGAGUAUCGGAGAGGCAAGCGGAAUUCCUAGUGUAGCGGUGAAAUGCGUAGAUAUUAGGAGGAACACCAGUGGCGAAGGCGGCUUGCUGGACGACAACUGACGCUGAGGCGCGAAAGCGUGGGGAGCAAACAGGAUUAGAUACCCUGGUAGUCCACGCUGUAAACGAUGAAUACUAGGUGUGGGGGGACUGACCCCCUCCGUGCCGCAGUUAACACAAUAAGUAUUCCACCUGGGGAGUACGACCGCAAGG